UCUCAGUCCCUGGUGGAGAGCGGCGGUGGCCUCGUGUCCCCUGGAGGGUCCAUGGACCUCAUCUGCAAAGGCUCCGGCUUCACCUUCAGCAGCUUCGGGAUGGGGUGGGUCCGUCAGGAGCCCCAGAAGGGCCUCCAGUGGGUCGCGGGGAUCCACAGCAAUGGUGGUACCACCUCCUACGCGCCGUCGGUCAAGGGGCGCUUCACCAUCUCCAGGGACAACGGCCAGAGCACGGUGACGCUGCGGAUGACCAACCUGAAGGCCGAGGACACGGCCACCUACUACUGCGCCAAAGACGCUUAUGGUGGUGGUGGUUAUGGUGCUGGUGGUGAUGACCACCAGAACCCCUUCGAGAGUCCUCUGGGACCCUUUUAG